CCUACGGGCGGCAGCAGUGAGGAAUAUUGGUCAAUGGACGAGAGUCUGAACCAGCCAAGUAGCGUGAAGGAUGACUGCCCUAUGGGUUGUAAACUUCUUUUAUAAAGGAAUAAAACGAGGCACGUGUGCCUUUUUGCAUGUACUUUAUGAAUAAGGAUCGGCUAACUCCGUUCCAGCAGCCGCGGUAAUACGGAGGAUCCGAGCGUUAUCCGGAUUUAUUUGGUUUAAAGGGGGCGUAGAUGGGUUGUUAAGUCAGUUGUGAAAGUUUGCGGCUCAACCGUAAAAUUGCAAUUGAUACUGGCAGUCUUGAGUACAGUUGAGGUAGGCGGAAUGCGUGGUGUAGCGGUGAAAUGCUUAGAUAUCACGAAGAACCCCGAUUGCGAAGGCAGCUUACUAAACUGUGACUGACAUUGAUGCUCGAAAGUGUGGGUAUCAAACAGGAUUAGAUACCCCUGUAGUC
rnacentral:rRNA from 1 species